GAUGAACGCUGGCGGUAUGCUUAACACAUGCAAGUCGAACGGACUCUUCGGAGUUAGUGGCGGACGGGUGAGUAACGCGUGAGAAUCUGGCUUUGGGUUCGGGACAACCACUGGAAACGGUGGCUAAUACCGGAUGUGCCGAGAGGUAAAAGAGAAAUUGCCUGAAGAUGAGCUCGCGUCUGAUUAGCUAGUUGGUGAGGUAAAGGCUCACCAAGGCAGCGAUCAGUAGCUGGUCUGAGAGGAUGACCAGCCACACUGGGACUGAGACACGGCCCAGACUCCUACGGGAGGCAGCAGUGGGGAAUUUUCCGCAAUGGGCGAAAGCCUGACGGAGCAAUACCGCGUGAGGGAAGAAGGCUCUUGGGUUGUAAACCUCUUUUCUUAGGGAAGAACAAAAUGACGGUACCUAAGGAUUCAGCAUCGGCUAACUCCGUG
rnacentral:rRNA from 1 species